GCAGAGAUGCACUCGAGAUGCGCGGCGGAGGGCGGCGAGGGGCAGGAGAGGGCGGCUGCAUCGGAACGAUCCGCUCGAGGCUCGGCGCCUCAUUAGCUUGCGACGGCGGACGCGCGCCGGAUACGUCGCCGUGUCGUCCACACGCGGCGCACGCUCGGUGCCUGCGAGAUGCUCUGCAGUCUGCACCGUCGCUCGCUACCUAUCAUCGAGGCUGACAUUUACACAAGAUCGCCUAGGACGCAAUAUUUCUAAGCACACCCAUCGCGCAGUGGUCCGCGCCCGCAUCGAACAAAAUCCUCUUAAUGUACAUUAAUAAACCUGGACACGAA